GAUGAACGCUGGCGGCGUGCCUAAUACAUGCAAGUCGAGCGAACAGAUGAGGAGCUUGCUCCUCUGACGUUAGCGGCGGACGGGUGAGUAACACGUGGAUAACCUACCUAUAAGACUGGGAUAACUUCGGGAAACCGGAGCUAAUACCGGAUAAUAUAUUGAACCGCAUGGUUCAAUAGUGAAAGACGGUUUUGCUGUCACUUAUAGAUGGAUCCGCGCCGCAUUAGCUAGUUGGUAAGGUAACGGCUUACCAAGGCAACGAUGCGUAGCCGACCUGAGAGGGGGAUCGGCCACACUGGAACUGAGACACGAUCCAGACUCCUACGGGAGGCAGCAGUAGGGAAUCUUCCGCAAUGGGCGAAAGCCUGACGGAGCAACGCCGCGUGAGUGAUGAAGGUCUUCGGAUCGUAAAACUCUGUUAUUAGGGAAGAACAAAUGUGUAAGUAACUAUGCACGUCUUGACGGUACCUAAUCAGAAAGCCACGGCUAACUACGUG
rnacentral:rRNA from 1 species